UAGAAUUUUUAAGAGUAUUUCAAUACCUCUGCAUGUUUAUCAAUAGUAUCUAUAAAGUGGUGGAACUUCAGUACCGCACUUGGAGAGGAAGUAGCUGAUUUAUGCUAAUGAAGGAGUUGAGGUUGAGCUACGCUGACUGGGAGCCGCCCUUCAUUCACCACAUGGUUAAACCCAGACUCUACUCGCGCCACUUUCGCAAUCUUACUACGAUACCCAAACUCGUAGCAAAUCAUAAUAGUAGCACAUGGUUGUGCACUUUUUUGAUUCCGCGUCUUAGCUCUUAUUCUACUCGUGAAGUGUGUUUUCUUUCCUCAGUUUUGCAGCUAUCCCAGAAACUGUGAGAAUACGGGCUCUGUGCACGUCUGUGUCUCCUGGGCAGGCCUCAUUGCAGAUUUAAAGGCAACUUAAUUCGGUCUGCAAAGGGAAUACGCCACCCGAACAGUUUUGAGUCACUGUAGUGUCAAAGUGCUUACAGUGCAGGUAGUUUUCUAAAAUCUACUGCAGUGAAGGCACUUUCAGCACUCUUCUGAUGAUAUAAACCGAAGAAGUUGGCUUAUUCACGAACACUGCUGGUUUGUGCCAGUCCCGAAUCCAAGUGCACUUGUUUAUACACAUUCAGGGUCUCGUCGUCCUGCUGCGAGGCUCGGCAUCCCGCUGGUUUGUAGCAGAGUAACAGUGCACGGAGCAAGCUUGGUUCUUGUGAGAUACUGUGCAUACUUUCAUUGGGGGGGGGGGUAUUUUAGCUGUGCAUUAAAUAUUUGUUGAUUCUAGGGUUAAUUUAGUUGUUUUAUGCGCAAGAACUCCUCUGACAAAGUGUUACAUGAUUAUGGGGCUAAAUGUAAGCAUGUUUUCCGCUUGUGCUUAUGCUAAGGUGCAUCUAGUGCAGAUAGUGAAGUAGACUAGCACCUACUGCCCUAAGUGCUCCUUCUGGCAUAAGAAGUUGGGACUGUCAUCUGCCUUGUAUGUUGCUUCUUUCUAAAUAUACAUUUAAUUGUGACAGUUCCCUGUGAGUUUUGCAUAGUUGCGCUGCAAGAAGAAAUAAGUUGUGCAAAUCUAUGCAAAACUGACAGUGGCCUGUGUUUCCAUCCAAAUCCUCCUUGAGAAUAUGGUUUCUUCGCUGGAUGACGUCCAAGCAGGUUUCAGCUGCAUCCCUUCUUAAUGUGGCUAACAGGUUUCAGUAGUAUUAAAGUGCUUAUAGUGCAGGUAGUUCGUGAAAUUCUACUGCAGUGUGAGCACUUAAAGUACUUCUAGACUUCUGCUUCUCAGGGAAAAACAAAACUGCAGCGGUAGCUCCUGUACAUGGGUCUCUGGUCAGUUUUGCUGGUUUGCUUUCAGCUUUUCAAAGUACUGCUGUGCAAAUCCAUGCAAAACUGAUCAUAGAGCUGAAAUGAAUCUUAAUCAGAUGUGAUCCCUUUCUGUGCAGGUUGGGAGAGGUAGCAAUGCUCUGCACAUGUGUGGUAUUGCACUUGUCCCGGCCUGUUGAGGAAAUGGGGAAUUGGUCUGCAGGUACCAUCAACAGUUCUACAUUGGACUUCUCAUCUUUAUGUUGCCAUCUCCACAUUGUGUGAUGUGCUAUUAUGCUGAGUUACCAGUUUGUAGUGGGGAAAAACUCGGUUAACUCUUUUUUACAUGUUUAGUUUUGUAAAUAAAUAUUUCUGUUGGCUUCUGGA